UACGGGGGGAGCAAGCGUUGUUCGGAUUUACUGGGCGUAAAGAGCGCGCAGGCGGUCGUUCAAGUCGUGUGUGAAAGCCCCCGGCUCAACUGGGGAGGGUCAUUCGAUACUGAUCGACUCGAAGGCAGGAGAGGGUAGUGGAAUUCCCGGUGUAGUGGUGAAAUGCGUAGAUAUCGGGAGGAACACCAGUGGCGAAGGCGACUACCUGGCCUGUUCUUGACGCUGAGGCGCGAAAGCUAGGGGAGCAAACGGG
rnacentral:rRNA from 1 species